rnacentral:rRNA from 1 species
AUGGAUAUCCUCAGCAGCUGUUCAUUGGCAUGGGGGUUGAGACAGGGAGACCCACUUUCGCCCUAUUUGUUCCUAUUUUCUGUUGAAGAAUUCUCAGCUUUGCUCAAGAAAGCACAACAGAACAAAGACAUUAAGGGUGUAUCUUUUGGGAGCACUGACCCCCACAUCACACACCUAUUGUUUGCUGAUGAUAGCAUUGUGUUUUUGGAAGGAUCCCAGGAUAAUUUGGCGGCUCUUAAAGUGACCCUUAUGAAGUAUGAGGCAGCUUCCGGACAAAAAGUUAAUCUUCAAAAAUCCUCAAUUUUUUUCGGGAAGGGAUGUCCUCCAGAGGAGAAGGGGCCGCUAAUGCAGGCUAUUGGGAUUCAAACUGAAGCACUCAAUAAGAGGUACUUGGGCCUGCCAACAGUGGUGGGGAAAUCCAAGGAUGGAACUUUCAAAUAUGUAACUGAGUGCUCGAAAGUGUCCGAUUCCCUGUGCGCUAGGGUUUUGAAGGCCCGGUACUUCAAAGAGGGGACUAUUAUGAGCGCAACUUGUCCAUCCGGUGCAUCUUAUACGUUCCGCAGCAUGAUAUAUGGGCGCGACUUGCUGAGAGAAGGCACAAUCUGGCGCAUAGGGGACAAGUCCAGAAUAAAUGUUCACCAUGAUAACUGGAUCCCAAGACAAGGAAGUCUGAAGCCUCUUGGGCAAACCUUUGUUCAGGGCGUUCUCAAGGUGCAAAAUCUUAUGACAUCUGAUGGAAGGGGAUGUAAUACGGAGCUGGUUGAUGACAUGUUUUCGCCAGAUGAUGCGAGGGAUAUCAAGCAAAUAGCUAUUGGAGGGCCACAUAUGGAUGACUAUAUUGCAUGGAACUUCACGAAGAAUGGGCAGUUUACGGUGAGAUCAGCCUAUCACCUGAGAAUGUCCUUGAACGGGGUGAAGACCGGACGGCUGGGUCCUUCUUCCUCGGUUAACAAACACAAGGGCUGGCUUGCUUUGUGGGACUCUUGUGCCCCUAAUAAGGCAAAAAUUCAUAUGUGGAGGCUAAUGAGGAAUGGGUUGGCUGUUGGGACAGAGCUCCAUCAUCGUCAUAUCAAGCCGGGGGUUUUCUGUGUGGCAUGUGGAAGAGAAGAGACACUCCUUCACAGAUUCUGGACAUGCCCACACUCAGCCGUGUUUUGGAAGUUGUUGUGCUCGGAGAAAGGAGUUACGGUGGCAGCCCCACCGUGUCAGAUCGACUCCUCAAGUGCGCUGUCAUCAUGGCUACUAGGGUGGUUCGCGGAUGCAAGGGAUGAUGAGAGAGCAACGAUGAUUCAGGCCUGCUACAAACUGUGGAUGGCGAGGAACGAGGCGAGGGAUGUGGCUUGCUGUUCACAGGAAGGAGGCUCCGGUCAUAUUAGGCUCAAUGGGCCCAAGUCCAAUCAUGCAAGUAGCUGGCCGAUGGGACGCUGCCGGGUUAAUUAG